GUGGAAGAUUUUUACCUGACAAAGGUACAACCAAAGCAUUGAGAUGAAUUACAGCCUGAAGUGUUGGUGGCUGUGUUCCAUCAUUUUUCCUAUGGAUGCUGGCAUGCGAAUUGCUAUAAUCAUGCUCUGUUAGCAAAAGCAAGCGGAAGUGCAAAAAAAAAUUUCUGCACCAUUUUCUGCUUCUACUGAAACUUUUAUUGCAUUUAAUAGGCAAGUCAAAGUAUCAUAAGGAGGGGUAUUCAAAAUCUUUCUUUUUUUUUUUUUAAGUUUGUUUUCAUUUGCAUCACUUUUGUGAAUUUGCUGCAAAAUUUCCAGGUUUGAGACGUAAUAUUUGUUUCCAGCUGCAUGUCAUCAACUCAAAAUUUCUACAAAAUUCAUUUUAAGCACCUAUUAGUCUGAUGGAGUCCUAAUUUGUUUUUCAAAUUGCAGCUAUUGAUCUAGUUGAUGAAGC
rnacentral:misc_RNA from 1 species